rnacentral:lncRNA from 1 species
GCGGGGCCCAACACCAGGGGAAGCUGUACCCUGGUGGUAAGGACUAGAGGUUAGAGGAGACCCCCCGCACAACAACAAACAGCAUAUUGACGCUGGGAGAGACCAGAGAUCCUGCUGUCUCUACAGCAUCAUUCCAGGCACAGAACGCCAGAAAAUGGAAUGGUGCUGUUGAAUCAACAGGUUCU